ACAUGGGUGGUCCAGUGGUAGAAUCCCCGCCUUCCAUGUGGGAGACCCGGGCUCAAUUCCCGGCCAGUGCU
rfam:Loxodonta africana unplaced genomic scaffold scaffold_102, whole genome shotgun sequence.